rnacentral:lncRNA from 1 species
GAUAUUGGCAAAUCCAUCAUAUUAUUCCUCACAUUUCGUAUUUCUCUUCUUGCUGUUACUCCAGGUGCUCCAUCCCAGAUCUGACUUCUUCUGGAUCUUUCCAUAUUCCUGAUCUCCUUUUGGCAGCUGGAUGGGAAGGGAAUGCCAUGGCCAAGGAGGGAUUGCCAAGGAGGGAUUACCGAGGUUCAAGAUGUAUUCCAAGGGAACACGAGUUCUGUGUGGCACCUCUACACCAGGUGGACUGGGCAGCAGCCGCAGCUCUCCCGCUCCCUGACCUUCCAGCAGCGCUGCUCCAACAGGACGUGGUGAUUUACAAGGCCAAGGGCCAGCAGGAAAUUCCGACCUCCACCCCCCCGGAGCACGGAGGAAGCCGGAGCAGCUCCGUGACUCAGAGGCGCUCCUGAGUCACCGCGGCCGCGGUUCCUGCGCUCCGCUCCUGACCCUGCCGAGCCCUGCUGCAAUUCACUGGCCUUACUGGAGGAGGAAAUGCGUGCUGGAAAAAAACAAACAAACAAACAAACAAACAAACAAAAAAGACCCGAUUUGGUUAAUGCUAUUCUUUAAUAAACAACUUAUGGCAGGUGCCUGGCA